rnacentral:pre_miRNA from 1 species
CACAAUGAUGUUAUUCUUACACGCCAUUUUCUAAACUUUUCCCCUACAACUCCCUUUGAUUGAAAAGAAGUAGAGAAAUCCACUUUUUUUUCUAUUCUCUUUUUUCUCCAAUAAAAGAGAGGUGUAGAGGAA